AUACGGAGGAUCCGAGCGUUAUCCGGAUUUAUUGGGUUUAAAGGGUGCGCAGGCGGCCAUUUAAGUCAGCGGUUAAAUCGUGGGGCUCAACCCCAUUCUGCCGUUGAUACUGGGUGGCUUGAUUGCGGUCGAGGUUGGCGGAAUUCGUUGUGUAGCGGUGAAAUGCAUAGAAAUGACGAAGAACACCGAUUGCGUAGGCAGCUGACCAGACCGCAAAUGACGCUCAUGCACGAAAGUGCGGGGAUCGAACAGGAUUAGAUACCCUGGUAGUCCGCACAGUAAACGAUGAAUACUUGUUUUCGGCGAUAUAAUGUCGGAGGCAAAGCGAAAGCGAUAAGUAUUCCACCUGGGGAGUACGCCGGCAACGGUGAAACUCAAAUGAAUUGACGGGG
rnacentral:rRNA from 1 species